GUCACCUGGGGGGCAGGGAAAAGCAGACGUCAGUGAUGUCAAGAAGCGUUCGCCGAGGGCCAAUAAGAGCGCCGCGUGCGCAGCCGGGCCAAGCCGAUUGGGCGCGGAGCCGCCGGAGGCGUAGCUAACGGUAGGUGGGAGGAGAGCGGAGCCUGCGCCGAGGGGUCCGCUCCUCGCUCCCGCCCCCGCCCCCGCCUCCCGCGGCUCCGCGUCUCCCGUUGCAGCUCGACUUCCUGGGGCCCGCCGUUCACUGAGCCCAGAGCCCACCCCCACCCCCACCGCGGAGACGGGCGACCAGAAUUGGGGCACGUGGGCGGCUCGUAGCCGUAACCGUCCGGCCUCAGAGCACACACUAAACAGCCCGAGGACGGAGCUGCGCCCGCGGAGGCAGCGAGGCCGAAGGGGAUGUGGGGGUAGACUAAGGCUAGAACGGGUGUACACGGCCCGGCACAGCGGCCCCGCCCCCCGCCCUGCAGCUGCUCGCCAUCCUCGGCUUCCUUCCUUCGGCUCGUCCACAACGUCCCCUCGCUGCCGGAAGCAGCUUCCCAAGAGAACUCAUCAGACACAAAGCAGGACGUGCCCACACAAGAGCCCAAAGCGCAAGGUAAAGGGUCAACGCCUGGCACAGGAUGAGGCGGGCUCCGAGAGAGGCGAUUGCUCGGCCAGCCCCGCGUAGGAGCUCCAGCCCGACAAACCCUUUCAGGGGAGCCUGCCUCUGUUUUCUCCAGGGUCAUAUGAGGAUGCUAGAAGCACCAAAUGACCUUUGUACACAGUAGGCACUUAAUGGAUGCAGCCCAGACAGCAAAGACAUCUAGGAAGGUUGGUCCAGAGAUCCAACAGCAGCUUCUGUCAAGAUGGGAUUAAUGUAGUACCCCCUCCCCCCCCUUUAUCCAGGCACAUCGAUGUGGUGAGAUGCUUCUCCCUGAUGCACAAACUCCUCAUUGCUUUUCAAAUUAAGUGCUGCAAAAGCACUUUCAAUUCAGCAUUUAUUCAGCACCUGCUGUAUGCAGAGGAGAAAAGGCAGGCUCACUCCCAGCUGGGAGGAUAGGGAGCAGUAUGCAGAGACCAGGUCGUGCACCACCCUCAGCCAAGCUAUCCCAGGCUCAGGGUGCCUGGGGAGAACCUCUGCAUUCUUGGCAGGGCCUUGAAACAAGGUCAGCCGAGCCAUUCGAA